GUCGGCGGGAACUAAUCCUAGUCACACUGCUACACAAAUGUCCAGCGACUUCACAUCAGUCCUGCUGGUCUCUGCAAGCUUCCAGGCUGGGUCUGCUGCUGCUGCCUGGGCUGCUGCCACCACUCACACUGCUUGAAACGGGGAAGGCGUGGGACUUCUGCACUACCUGAGGGCUGCAAACGUGAUGGCUAUGUCUGGAUUGCCCGCAUGUCAGCCAGCAUAGAGAGUAGGAUGCUAUACAGCCUGGAGCUCAUGCAGGUCCUGCUCCGGACACACUGCCCAACUGCGCGAUAACCCUGACUCUUAACAACAAGCUAUCUGAGAUGGAGACUGGUUCAUAUUUUCGAUCAAGUCUCCACGAAAGACUGAUGUCUGUGAUUCAUGCUGCUCUCCCCCUCCCCGCCACACAGAGGUCCUGCUGAUAUCCGUGGCCUGUGCUGCCACUGGAAGCCAAUGUUGAGGUCCGUGGUCCGGAGACCAGGUUGAUGUGAGAAAACAGGUUGAUGUCUCUGGUCCACGUUGCUACUAGAGAGCAUGAACUGUGCUGGGGCUAGAGAGGUUGAUGUCUGUGAUCUGUAUUGCUGCCGGCUACUACGGGCAAGAAAGCUUCUUCGGUGGUGGCAUUGAUGACUGCAGACUCAUACCUGAGAGUGAGAGACAUAGAUGGCUUCUCAUUCUUUGCCAACCUCCGCUCACCCCCUAUCCUAGAAAAGAAACAGUUCAGGCAUGAAGCUCACAGUUGAUGGUUUCUGGGGGUUGGGCCAAGGGGGAACCAACACAGAGGAAUUGAUUUUCUUUAAAGGGCCACGGGAAGUUGAACCAUGUUCAAUGAAUAUAUGGGCAACCCAAACUGAACUUGGUAUUGGUGUUUUUGUUUUUGUUUUUUGAGGGAAGGCUGGAUCUGGAGGAGGGAAGGCAGAUGUCAUGGGGUAAAUUGUAUGAAAUUCUGAAAUAAUGAAUAAAAAUAUUACGUUAGGGAAAAAUAAAAUUCAUUAGAAAUCCAGGAGAUGAACGAUGGUGACAGAGGGUUCAUGUUUACCUGUGAGACUCAAGGACAUUUUCCCAUCGUUCAGGAAAUUGUGCAUUUUUAAUGUUUCAUUUUAAUGUGUGGCUUCUCAGAGGGGACAUCUGGCAACAGGAAGUAAAAGCCUCAGAAGGUUCAGUGCUUUCUCUAUUGGAAUUUCCAUAAUUAAGAAGUAAACAUUAUACUUUAUAAUAGACAAAAAGCUGGAAAGCAUCCAAAUGUUCAGUGAUGUACCAUUGACUGAGUUAUUGCAUAUUCAUUAGUAAAAUGUGUGCAGAAAUUAAACGCCAUGUUUUCAAAAAACAAAUUUCACAAUGUUCACACCAUAUUGUUGAAUGAAAAGCAGCUGACUAUACAACUGUGCAUAGUAUGAGCUCAAAGGAUGCACAUAUAUCCAUAUAUUUCGGGGUUGUUGAACAUAAAAUAAUUAGUGGUGGCUAUUUCUGUGUUCUUUGAAAAAUCUCUAAAUUUCGUGCUGUGUUGUGUGCCGUAAGAUAUGGAUUGUAUGUACCUGUUGACUAUAAAAUACCCAAAGCUACAUUGUUAUACUACACAUCACCUUUGUGGUUACUAGUAAAAGCAGUGAUUGCU
rnacentral:lncRNA from 1 species